rnacentral:rRNA from 1 species
CACGUAGGGCGCAAGCGUUGUCCGGAAUUAUUGGGCGUAAAGAGCUCGUAGGCGGUCUGUCGCGUCGGCUGUGAAAACCCGUGGCUCAACCCCGGGCCUGCAGUCGAUACGGGCAGACUAGAGUGCGGUAGGGGAGACUGGAAUUCCUGGUGUAGCGGUGAAAUGCGCAGAUAUCAGGAGGAACACCGGUGGCGAAGGCGGCCUGCUGGGCAGUAGCUGACACUGAGGCGCGACAGCGUGGGGAGCAAACAGG